rnacentral:rRNA from 1 species
GACGAACGCUGGCGGCGUGCUUAACACAUGCAAGUCGAACGGAAAGGCCCUGCUUUUGUGGGGUGCUCGAGUGGCGAACGGGUGAGUAACACGUGAGUAACCUGCCCUUGACUUUGGGAUAACUUCAGGAAACUGGGGCUAAUACCGGAUAGGAGCUCCUGCUGCAUGGUGGGGGUUGGAAAGUUUCGGCGGUUGGGGAUGGACUCGCGGCUUAUCAGCUUGUUGGUGGGGUAGUGGCUUACCAAGGCUUUGACGGGUAGCCGGCCUGGGAGGGUGACCGGCCACAUUGGGACUGAGAUACGGCCCAGACUCCAACGGGAGGCAGCAGUGGGAAAUAUUGCACAAUGGGCGGAAGCCUGAUGCGGCAACGCCGCGUGCGGGAUGACGGCCUUCGGGUUGUAAACCGCUUUCGCCUGUGACGAAGCGUGAGUGACGGUAAUGGGUAAAGAAGCACCGGCUAACUACGUG